GGAGUUGGCUAGACAAUCGCUUCUGAAAGGAAGAGGAAAGUCCGGGCUCCAUAGGGUUGAGUGCCAGGUAACGCCUGGGGGGCGUAAGCCUACGGAAAGUGCAACAGAAAAUAUACCGCCUUUUUAGGUAAGGUUGAAAUGGUGCGGUAAGAGCGCACCGCGCGAGCGGUAACGUUUGUGGCAGUGUAAACCCCACUCGGAGCAAGACCAAAUAGAAAUCCGUGUUCUGUUACCCGCAGAAGGAUUUGGGUAGGUCGCUAAAGGUAUUUGGCGACAAGUAUCUUAGAUGAAUGAUUGUCCUUGACAGAACCCGGCUUAUAGGCCGACUCCCAUA
rnacentral:RNase_P_RNA from 1 species